GACGAACGCUGGCGGCGUGCUUAACACAUGCAAGUCGAGCGGUAAGGCCCUUUCGGGGGUACGACGAGCGGCGAACGGGUGAGUAACACGUGGGUGACCUGCCCUCAGCUCUGGGAUAAGCCUGGGAAACCGGGUCUAAUACUGGAUAUGACGCCAUGACGCAUGUUGUGGGGUGGAAAGCCUUGUGCGGCUGAGGAUGGGCCCGCGGCCUAUCAGCUUGUUGGUGGGGUGANGGCCUACCAAGGCGACGACGGGUAGCCGGCCUGAGAGGGCGACCGGCCACACUGGGACUGAGACACGGCCCAGACUCCUACGGGAGGCAGCAGUGGGGAAUCUUGCGCAAUGGGCGAAAGCCUGACGCAGCGACGCCGCGUGAGGGAUGACGGCCUCGGUUGUAACGU
rnacentral:rRNA from 1 species